GGGUCUGUAGCUCAGGGGUUAGAGCAGUCGGCUCAUAACCGAUUGGCCGGUGGUUCGAACCCACCCAGGCCCA
rnacentral:tRNA from 1 species